UACGUAGGUGGCAAGCGUUGUCCGGAUUUACUGGGCGUAAAGAGCGCGCAGGCGGCCAAGUCAGUCGAAUGUGAAAGCCCCCCGGCUUAACUGGGGAGGGUCAUUCGAUACUGCUCGGCUCGAAGACAGGAGAGGGAAGUGGAAUUCCCGGUGUAGUGGUGAAAUGCGUAGAUAUCGGGAGGAACACCAGUGGCGAAGGCGACUACCUGGCCUGUUCUUGACGCUGAGGCGCGAAAGCUAGGGGAGCAAACGGG
rnacentral:rRNA from 1 species